GAAUCCGCCCUAAGAAUAACACACUAUUCGUGCUCUCUCUGCUGUGGGUGUACUGUUCGAGGUAAGCAAAUUGUAUUUAUUUAUUUAUUUUUACACAAAAUCAGAUUAAAAAGACAAAAUAACCAUAUUUAUUUCUGAGAGGAUAACUGCUUAACUUUCUUUAUAGUUUUAAAUCAAGACACCACAGGUGAAAAGGAAAAGAUUAAUUAAUAGAUAUCUCCAUAUUUCCCAUUUGAUUGAUUAAAAAUAGUGCAAAUUUUUUUUUACAAAUUUUCUAAAUUGUUGUUUAAAUACACAAAUGAGGCUUUAUCUAAUAAAAUAUGCACUCAUUCAUUUCCAAAAACAGAAAUCUGAUGAUUAGAUGAAGCCAGGGUCAAAAUUAUUUUCAUUCUGGUGACAUUAAAAGAUUUUUACAAAGGGAUUUCUGUUUUUAUCACUCCAAAAAAAUCAGAAAUAAAAUACAAUUUCACCAUGUUUUUAAGAAUAAAAUGUGAAGACAGAUAAUAUACGAACAAAUGAACAAGCCUUCAGUAUAUAUAUAUAUAAAACUAAAGUUUGGUGUGUGUAAAGAUUUCUGACUCAAACUCACCACAUUUACAGAUUAAGAUUGAAAUCUACAGGCGCUAAUAGAUGAUGCAUGAAAAAAGCAACAAUCUUGCCUGUAGUGUCUCGCCUUAAAGAAAUGAGUAGACAGUAUGCAGUAUAUUGUCAGUUCUCUCUGUCCCGUUGUGUUUUGUGAUGUCGUCACACACAUUCUCUUUGUGAUGUCAUCACAUUCUCUGUAGCGUGUCUGUUCUGAAUGGAAUCAUGCUGCAGCAUCAUGUGACGUCCACUAGGGGUCCCGCUGUGUGUGAGGGUCCGGUGGGAGGGACCGCCUCGCUCUCAGUGGAACGGCAGCGGAUUGGUGACACGGAGUGGUACGUCCCAAACAAAGGCAGUGGCACACAAAGGGAGCUCACACACACACACACACACACACACACAUGCUGGUACGCCCUCAGCUGUUGCAAACGGCCACCCAGACCCUCCUUCUUUGUGUUCUCCUGCGCUGGAGACAAAGACGACACAGAAGCAGAACGAAUCAGAGCAGCUCCAUCUGUACAGCAGCCAUCAGGAGCGAAAGCUACUCGUCUUUUUACCCAAACACUGUCAUUAUUUACUCGCCCUCGUGCCAUUCAAACCUUUAUGACUUUCUUUCUUCAGUGGAACACAACAGAAGAUGUUUUGAGAAAUGUUCCACACAGUGGCCGAUCGUAAUAACAUCCGUUGAGCACCAGAAAACAGUCGACUUGUGCGCUAUUUUCCAGCUCUUCUGAAGUCAAAUGAUGCUUUAUGUGCAUCAAAUCAAUAUUUGAUGCCAUACACGCUUAAAAAUAAUGGUUCCAAAAUUAGGUUUCCAUACAUUGUAAAAAAUGAUUUAUCUUUGAAAAUACAAUAUCAGUCUUGUGUCUUAAAAAUGUAAUGUUUGAUUCAAUGUGUUACUUGCAGUUUCUUUGUAAUUAUUUGUGCAAUUUACUAUCAAUUUCUGAGUGAAAAUUGUUUCAAAGUAAAUCCUACACCAGAUUUUUUUUUGGUUUCCUGGAGAACCUUUCAGUGAUGAGUUCUUUAAAAAUAUAUAUAUUUUCUUAGUGUACACACUUAAAAACUAAUGUUAUGAUGCUUCAUGAUCAUCUUUGUGCCGUUUGCCUCCUCUUUCACCCGGAUAUUCCUCUUCAUCUGUUGAGUUUUGAGCGACAUGGAGAGUAAAUGUUCAACUUUUCCUUUAUUAUCCGUCAGGUUCUGAGUUUAUUCUCAAAGCGCAUUAGUGCUGAUGACAGACAGAGAUCCGCAGAAGACGGGUGUGUUACAUCACAGACCGAGGAGAGGGAAACAGGGACAGAUGUAACAUCAGUGACCCCAAUCGACUGAAGCGCCGCUCUCUUCCUCUGGAGGACAGACGCAGGAUUCUCUGCAGUCUCUUUCUUUUCCAUUUCAGUCAUUCCGUGUGUCUGUCCAUCCUGCAUCCAUCCGUCAGUGAUCCUGCAUCUCUCCAGUGCCGCUCUGAAGGUGGUGAUAAACCUCUGCAGGAAACACUGUUGCUCAACUUUACUGUUCAGGACAGUCGAAUCAUUACACAACGAGUUUAGAAACACAAACAGAACGUGAGGACAGAAAACAGACAUGAAGAGAGGAACAGAAGCUUCAGUCCCUCAUGAGACGCCUACAUAGACAGCAUUUCCAGGCUGUUUAACAGGUGACUCUGAGAACUCAUGUUCACCUAAGAUGGCUUUUGAUUUGAGAGAAAUGUCAAUUAGAAAUAUACUUAAUAUGCAUUUAUUUAAUUAAAUCUUGAAUGAAUCAUAGUAUCAAAAAACAAUUAAAAAAUAGGCUAUUAUUAAACAGAUUCUGACUCAUGUGAUGCAUCAGGUUGACUAACGUUUCUCUUCGUUUUUUCUCCAGAAUGUGGCAAAACUCUUUGAAACACCAAAAUAAAAUAUGAGGAACAAAA